UACGUAGGGACCAAGCGUUGUUCGGAUUUACUGGGCGUAAAGGGCGCGUAGGCGGCGCGGUAAGUCACUUGUGAAAUCUCUGAGCUUAACUCAGAACGGCCAAGUGAUACUGCAGUGCUAGAGUGUGGAAGGGGCAAUCGGAAUUCUUGGUGUAGCGGUGAAAUGCGUAGAUAUCAAGAGGAACACCUGAGGUGAAGACGGGUUGCUGGGCCAACACUGACGCUGAGGCGCGAAAGCCAGGGGCGCAAACGGG
rnacentral:rRNA from 1 species